AGGACGAACGCUGGCGGCGUGCUUAACACAUGCAAGUCGAACGGGGAUUAAGUUGGAAAGGCUUCGGCCCGGAAGACUAAUCGAGUGGCGGACGGGUGAGUAACGCGUGAGCAACCUGUCCCAGACAGGGGGAUAACACUUGGAAACAGGUGCUAAUACCGCAUAAGACCACGGGGUCACAUGGCUCUGGGGUAAAAGGAGCAAUCCGGUUUGGGGUGGGCUCGCGUCCGAUUAGAUAGUUGGUGAGGUAACGGCCCACCAAGUCGACGAUCGGUAGCCGACCUGAGAGGGUGAUCGGCCACAUUGGAACUGAGAGACGGUCCAAACUCCUACGGGAGGCAGCAGUGGGGAAUAUUGGGCAAUGGGCCGAAAGCCUGACCCAGCAACGCCGCGUGAGUGAAGAAGGCCUUCGGGUUGUAAAGCUCUGUUAUAGGGGACGAAGGAAGUGACGGUACCCUAUAAGGAAGCCCCGGCUAACUACGUGCCAGCCGCCGC
rnacentral:rRNA from 1 species